rnacentral:rRNA from 1 species
AGUGAACGCUGGCGGUAGGCCUAACACAUGCAAGUCGAACGGCAGCACAGUAAGAGCUUGCUCUUACGGGUGGCGAGUGGCGGACGGGUGAGGAAUACAUCGGAAUCUACUUUUUCGUGGGGGAUAACGUAGGGAAACUUACGCUAAUACCGCAUACGACCUACGGGUGAAAGCAGGGGAUCUUCGGACCUUGCGCGAUAGAAUGAGCCGAUGUCGGAUUAGCUAGUUGGCGGGGUAAAGGCCCACCAAGGCGACGAUCCGUAGCUGGUCUGAGAGGAUGAUCAGCCACACUGGAACUGAGACACGGUCCAGACUCCUACGGGAGGCAGCAGUGGGGAAUAUUGGACAAUGGGCGCAGGCCUGAUCCAGCCAUACCGCGUGGGUGAAGAAGGCCUUCGGGUUGUAAAGCCCUUUUGUUGGGAAAGAAAAGCAGCAGGUUAAUACCCCGCUGUUCUGACGGUACCCAAAGAAUAAGCACCGGCUAACUUCGUG